rnacentral:lncRNA from 1 species
GAAGAAUUGGUGGGAUCACAAGGCAGAAAAACUGGUUGAAAACAAACAAGUAAAAUUACUAUGGGACUUCCAAAUUCAGACUGACUGAAUGAUGGAACACUAUAUGCAGAUCAUCAUCAUUGUGGAGAAAAACAAAAUAUGGAUCAUUGAUAUCGCUAUCCUAAGUGACCGCAGAAUAAAUGAAAAACAACUGGAAAAGUUCAAUAGAUAUGAAGACUUGAAAAUCAAACUUCAGUGGAUCUGGCAUAAACCAGUAAAGGUGGUCCCAGUAGUUCUCAGCACACUAGGUAUAGUGCCAAAAGACCUCAGUGGGUACUUGAAAAUGAUUGGCAUUGAUAAAAUAUCCAUCUGCCAACUUCAAAAAGCCACUUUACUGAGAUCUGCU